rnacentral:misc_RNA from 1 species
UUUGAAUUAUAAAUUUUUUUUUAAUAAUAGAAAUUUCAUUUAUUCCUAAUUUAAGUCCAUUAUUAGAAGGGAAAUCUCGAAUGAGGAAUAGCUAGUAAUUCACCAAUUACUAAACAAAAUGCAUCUUUUCUUGGUCCCGCAUCGCGAGUGCUGCAUUCAAGAACUCAUCCAUGGCUCUCACAGAGGACCCCUUCAAAUCUUUCUCGCAUUUCACUGCAUCCUUAAUCAUGUCUUUCGCUCCACAAGCCUUCUUUCUCAUUUCCACCCCUUUUUCUGUCCCAUUCAUCACCAACUCUAUCUUUUUCACUAUAUCUUCAUGGCUAACUUGGCAGAUCUUUCCUCUAGCCACCUCCACACAUACUCCUAUCUUUUCUUCCAAAAGCUUAACAUUGUAGAAUUGUUCUGCUGCCAUUGGCCACCCAAUUAAUGGCACACCAUAGCUUAGAGAUUCGAGCACUGAA